CUCUCUCUCUCUCGUCGUCACCUUCUUCCUUUUUUACAUCGACAAGGUCGAUCGAGACACUUGGAAAAAAAGAAAAAAAAAAAAUACGCGUAACUAAUCACGAAAUUAAUAAUAACAUUGUCAGACUAUAGAUAUAUAAAUACGAUAAAUAUUUAUCAAAAUGUUAAAUCGCAAUGUAAAUGUUGCAAAUUAAAUUUGUGAAAAAUCUGUUAGCUUGGUUGAAGUUAACGCGGCAUACGUUCCUUUCUGCAAGUAGAAACUUUCCAAGAUGAACGAAGGUAGAUGGAUCGAUUAUCUCGGUAGUUCGUGGAUCAAAUAGCCGAUAGACUCCUACCAGUUACUCCUCUCCUCUUUUCUUUCUUAUUCUCUCCUCUCCUCGCCCCUCUUUUUAUCGACAUCAUCGUAGCUUCCACUCGCCCCCUUUAUUUGGUUACUCGCUUCUUAUCUCCAACGAUCCUCGAUUCAUGAUGUCGGCGUUAUUACUACAUAGCCGAAUAAUCGUCCAUCGACCGUAGAACGAGUCGAACAACAAUGUGAUAGACGUAACUCGUGACCUCAAACACUAACGAGACGACGUCGCCUGUCAUAAAAGAAAGAGAACAGAAGUGCGAGAGAGAAAGAGAGAGGUGGGGGGAAGGAGACAAAGAGGCAAAGAGAAAACAUCUAUGGACGUGUUCGUGUACCGAUGUAAUCGGCUCGUUGUUGUCCGUAAAUUGGAUUCGAUGAUAGAGGACUUUUGGUAUUGUCUACCUGUAUCAAAACAAAAUACAUAUAAAUGGAAUUUCAAUCGACAUUAUCCUGCCGGACGAUGAACGAUGAUCGCAUUGUCAAGAGGAACGGGGCGUUUUCCAACAUGGGAUCAUAAUCCCAUUGUAAAGUGAAAUGGUUUUCGUUGGUCGACCCCAACUGUGUGUGCUAGCGCGAGAACAAUGAGACAAAGGGAAUGCGUGGGAUUAGGACAGGGGUGGUGAAGGAUGGUACACAGAAGAAGAAACGGUAAUUUGGCCCUCCCCAUGUUGUCCCUGUGACUCCUACUACAUCGCUAUUUCGUGUUCUCCCCAGUCAGCCCGUAAAUCAAAUCGCGUGGGCGCACCUUUGAAGGAAACGAAAUGAGGACCCCUCUUGAUAUUCCUCUUCCUAACCUCGUCACACGACCAAACUUUAACGGCAUGGAUUUUAAUUACCUCACGUUAAGUAUAAUUACCGAAAGCAUAUCGCUAAUUCGUAAAGCUUUCGAGAAUGAUUAGAAACGAUUCGUUCGAAAGAGAUCGUUUCUUUUAUUUUCUUUUUUUUUUUCCUUAGAUUCAAACAAUUUGAUUUUAAAUGAUUGUUCAUUAGUUAUCUUUCUUCAGAUCCAAUAGGCAUUAUUUUGUGAAAGUAAAUGAGAAUUCGUGAAGCCGUUUGUAUCUUAUACAUCAUCCUCAAUUAUAGCCUACAAUUUUCGUAUCAUUUUCGGUUCGAUUUCGAUACUUUUUGGUCUACCGAACCACAAUACGCUCCAGAUCUUAGCGGUUUGAUAUCGAUAACGAGUUAGAAAUCAUGUCUUGUUGAGAAGAGAAAAACGAUACCGAAAGCUGAAAGCCAGAGUGUACAUUUAACAAAUGCGAUCGAAUGAAUUGGCCACCAAAUCAUUCGCUAAGAUUUUUUCCCUUCUUUUUUUAUUCCCACUUUUUUCUUCUUCUUUAUCUUUUUUUCUUCUUUUUCCACUCUCUGCAAGUUUCGCACUGCUACGAGAACGAAUGACACGUUGGAUCGCGAAUCGUUCGACGACUUUGAUAAAUCGUUUUGAGUACCGAGUACCGAUACCAAGCCACUUUCCCCUGUCGUUUUAAUGGCUUGAUAAAUGCAUUCGAAUGCCCUUCCAUCGUGCAGAUGCACUCAGAGAUUGUGUCGCUGAGGAAGAUACUACCGGGCUUAUAAGCCGAGCAUUGAGAUCAUUAUGUUGAAAAUAAAUAUCUUUUGUAAAACGUUACGUUACCACACGUUAAUUCCAAGAAAGGAAUAAGUAUUAAUCAUUAAUAAGAAGGUAGAGUAAUAUUGAUGGAAUGUCGUAAUAGAAUGUCGUAAUAGAAUUUUGUUUACUAUCAUACCUA